rnacentral:rRNA from 1 species
AGAGUGAACGCUGGCGGUAGGCCUAACACAUGCAAGUCGAACGGCAGCACAGUGGUAGCAAUACCAUGGGUGGCGAGUGGCGGACGGGUGAGGAAUACAUCGGAAUCUACCUUUUCGUGGGGGAUAACGUAGGGAAACUUACGCUAAUACCGCAUACGCCCUUUGGGGGAAAGCCGGGGAUCGCAAGACCUGGCGCGGAUAGAUGAGCCGAUGUCGGAUUAGCUAGUUGGUGAGGUAAUGGCUCACCAAGGCGACGAUCCGUAGCUGGUCUGGAGAGGAUGAUCAGCCACACUGGACUGAGCACGGUCCAGACUCCGUAACGGGAGGCAGCAGGUGGGGAAUAGUUCGGACAAGUGGGCG